CCUACGGGGUGCAGCAGUGGGGAAUAUUGGACAAUGGGCGAAAGCCUGAUCCAGCCAUGCCGCGUGUGUGAAGAAGGCCUUCGGGUUGUAAAGCACUUUCAGUGGGGAAGAAAGCCUUGGGGCUAAUACCCUCGAGGAAGGACAGCACCCACAGAAGAAGCACCGGCUAACUCCGUGCCAGCAGCCGCGGUAAUACGGAGGGUGCGAGCGUUAAUCGGAAUUACUGGGCGUAAAGCGCGCGUAGGCGGUCUGAUAAGCCGGUUGUGAAAGCCCCGGGCUCAACCUGGGAACGGCAUCCGGAACUGUCAGGCUAGAGUGCAGGAGAGGAAGGUAGAACUCCCGGUGUAGCGGUGAAAUGCGUAGAGAUCGGGAGGAAUACCAGUGGCGAAGGCGGCCUUCUGGACUGACACUGACGCUGAGGUGCGAAAGCGUGGGUAGCAAACAGGAUUAGAUACCCGAGUAGUC
rnacentral:rRNA from 1 species